rnacentral:lncRNA from 1 species
CCCCGGGAGGGGGUGGUCAUCACGAGGAACAGAGAUGGCCCAGCAGACAUUUGGCCUCUAGAUCCUUUGAAUGGAGCGUGGUUCCGAGUUGAGACAAAUUACGACCACUGGAAGCCAGCACCCAAGGAAGAUGACCGGAGAACAUCUGCCAUCAAGGCCCUUAAUGCUACAGGACAAGCAAACCUCAGCCUGGAGGCACUUUUCCAGAUGAUUUUUUAAAAAAUGAAAUUCUUGAAGAGCUGCACCUUAAAAAAUAAGACAAAGUGAAAGUAUUGUAUUAUGUUACAAACAAUGCAGGCUCCUUCCUCAUUUAACUUUACAACCUUGCGAAGUGGGUCCAGGAGAUUUGGAGUUUGUGGUAAAGCCAGUAAUGGGCAUUGUCCUGCAUUCCCUUCCCUUCAUGGUUUGCCUCGAUCCUCUCUAAGCUUCUAUCCUGGCCUGAAUAACUCAAAGAUAAUUGGUCUCAGAGAUCAAGCCAUAUCCUCAGGCCUUAUUUCCAUCUUCUCAUGAUUCUGCCAUCAUACCUUUGCUUCUCCGCUAAUGAAAUGAGCUGGCAAGACCUCUGUUCAUUGUGAAG